GAUGAACGCUGGCGGCGUGCUUAACACAUGCAAGUCGAACGGUGAAGCAGAGCUUGCUCUGUGGAUCAGUGGCGAACGGGUGAGUAACACGUGAGCAACCUGCCCCUGACUCUGGGAUAAGCGCUGGAAACGGCGUCUAAUACUGGAUAUGAGCUGCGACCGCAUGGUCAGCAGUUGGAAAGAUUUUUCGGUCUGGGAUGGGCUCACGGCCUAUCAGCUUGUUGGUGAGGUAAUGGCUCACCAAGGCGUCGACGGGUAGCCGGCCUGAGAGGGUGACCGGCCACACUGGGACUGAGACACGGCCCAGACUCCUACGGGAGGCAGCAGUGGGGAAUAUUGCACAAUGGGCGAAAGCCUGAUGCAGCAACGCCGCGUGAGGGAUGACGGCCUUCGGGUGGUAAACCUCUUUUAGCAGGGAAGAAGCGAAAGUGACGGUACCUGCAGAAAAAGCGCCGGCUAACUACGU
rnacentral:rRNA from 1 species